rnacentral:misc_RNA from 1 species
CAGGGACAAAUCCACUUGAAGGAGCUGCACUGGGGAUGUCACUGCUGGAAUCAUUUGCUGAUGGUGGUGCUUUAUUGACAAUAGCUACAACGCAUCAUGGUGAACUUAAAUCCCUGAAAUACAGUAAUGGCACCUUUGAAAAUGCUUGCAUGGAGUUUGAUGAAGUGAAUCUAAAGCCAACUUACAGGAUUCUUUGGGGAAUACCAGGUCGUUCAAAUGCCAUCAACAUAUCUGAAAAGUUGGGACUGCCGGGCAUAGUUAUUAGUAAUGCCCGAGAAUUAUAUGGUGCUGCUAGUGCAGAGAUUAAUGAGGUC